rnacentral:rRNA from 1 species
AACGAACGCUGGCGGCAGGCCUAACACAUGCAAGUCGAGCGCCCUUUCGGGGGAGCGGCGGCCGGGUGAGUAACGCGUGGGAAUAUGCCCUUCUCUACGGAAUAGCCUCGGGAAACUGAGAGUAAUACCGUAUACGCCCUGUGGGGGAAAGAUUUAUCGGGGAAGGCUUAGCCCGCGUUGGAUUAGGUAGUUGGUGGGGUAAUGGCCUACCAAGCCGACGAUCCAUAGCUGGUUUGAGAGGAUGAUCAGCCACACUGGGACUGAGACACGGCCCAGACUCCUACGGGAGGCAGCAGUGGGGAAUCUUAGACAAUGGGGGCAACCCUGAACGAGCCAUGCCGCGUGAGUGAUGAAGGCCGUAGGGUUGUAAAGCGCUUUCAGCUGGGAAGAUAAUGACGGUACCAGCAGAAGAAGCCCCGGCUAACUCCGUG